rnacentral:rRNA from 1 species
GAUGAACGCUGGCGGCGUGCCUAAUACAUGCAGGUCGAGCGAACAGACGAGGAGCUUGCUCCUCUGACGUUAGCGGCGGACGGGUGAGUAACACGUGGAUAACCUACCUAUAAGACUGGGAUAACUUCGGGAAACCGGAGCUAAUACCGGAUAACAUGUUGAACCGCAUGGUUCAACAGUGAAAGACGGUCUUGCUGUCACUUAUAGAUGGAUCCGCGCCGCAUUAGCUAGUUGGUAAGGUAACGGCUUACCAAGGCAACGAUGCGUAGCCGACCUGAGAGGGUGAUCGGCCACACUGGAACUGAGACACGGUCCAGACUCCUACGGGAGGCAGCAGUAGGGAAUCUUCCGCAAUGGGCGAAAGCCUGACGGAGCAACGCCGCGUGAGUGAAGAAGGUCUUCGGAUCGUAAAACUCUGUUAUUAGGGAAGAACAAAUGUGUAAGUAACUAUGCACGUCUUGACGGUACCUAAUCAGAAAGCCACGGCUAACUACGUG